UCGUCUUCUUCUAUCCAUAUGGACUGUUUGUGUAUAAAUUUAGAGAGAUAAAGUACGAAGACCGAAAGAAAGAGGGAAGAAGAGGAGGAAAGAAAUGAAGCACCUCUUGAAAAAGCUUCAUCACCACCCUAAUCGAUCCAACGAAACUCCAUCUUCUACUUCUUCGUCCACGUCAUCAUCGUCGGCGCCGGCGUCAACGUCAGCGUCAUGUGGUGUCUCCGAUCACCGUCCUUCCAACUUCGGCAACGCUCCGGCGUGUGUUCCCACUACUGCUACUGCUGCUUCUCCUACUACAACUUCGCCGACUUCUGCUGCUCCUGCCACUUCUCCGGAGGCUACAGCUGCGGCGGAUAGGCAGCAGCAGCAGCAGCAGAAGAAGGAUUAUUUUGAUUCGGAGGAGGAAUUUGAGAUGCAGCUAGCCAUGGCAAUGAGCGUCUCGGCCUCUUUGGCGCAGGAGUCUGGUACUAUCGAUGGGAAUACUGAUCAUCAUCAUCAUCAGAGUUUUCUCGGAGGAGGCCGAGGUGGCGACUCUGUGGGCCACAGGGAUGAUGCUGCUGCGGACUUGUUGUCCAGGCGGUUUUGGGAAGAUAGUGGACUUGACUAUGAGGAAAAGGUGGUUGAAGGCUUCUAUGAUGUCUUCAGUCUCUCCAUAGAUCCAGCAAGCAAAGGAAAAAUGCCAUCUCUUACUGAUCUUGAGACAAAUCCUGGUGGCUCUGAUUUUGAAGUAGUAAUAGUCAACAAAUCUAUUGAUCCUGCUUUGAGAGAGUUGGCGGAGAUUGCACGGUGUAUAGUAGCAACGACUGAGAUUGGUCUUCAAGUACAGAGACUUGCUGAACUUGUUGCAGACCAAAUGGGUGGACCAGUGAAGGAUGCAAAUGUCAUAAUGGCAAAAUGGCUGGAAAGAAGCACAGAGUUAAGGACAUCUCUCCACACAGUUGUGCGACCUCUUGGGUCAUUAAGACUUGGGCUUUUACGUCAUCGAUCGCUGCUUUUUAAGGUAUUGGCUGACAAUGUUGGUAUACCUUGUAAAUUGGCGAAUUGGAGUAAAUACACUGGAAAUGAGGUUGAUGUUGUGAACUUUGUAAAGUUUUCAGACGGAAGUGAGUUCUUAGUUGAUCUCAUGGGUGAACCUGGGGCACUCAUACCUGCUGAUGUUUUGAGUGCAAAAGAUGGAUCUUUCAAGUCAUAUCCUCCGAAAUUAGGCAAACUUCCCACUUUUCAGGCAACCAGUGAUACUGGAGCUGCUCAAUCAAAUCCAUAUUUAUUAUCUGGACAGAGUUCCGCAGAGGAAAAUAGUUUCUCUUCACAAAAAGAUUCCGAAAAGACAGAUUCAUUGCCUUCUCCUCAGAAUGGAAGAACCAGUAGCAGUGUUAGCUCUUCUGGAUUGAACAAAAGGGCACCAGCUUCCAACCAGAUGGAUCAUAUCCCAUCCUUGGCUAUUGGGACUUCUUUGUACAAAGGUGGUCGUGGGCCCAAUGCAGCUGGUGAUGGUGCAAGAAUGAAUGUGAAUCUGGUUCCAUAUAAUCAGAGCAGUACUGAAGACCCAAAAAAUCUUUUUGCUGAUCUUAAUCCAUUCCAAAUAAAAGGAUCCGGUAAGGCUUCGUUGCAAGGGGACUAUGGUAGGAAAAACUUUAAUGAAAUACCACGGCCAAAAGGUAACCUUCUUAGUGGCCGACCUCCAGUACCUUUGGCACAAAAAAGUAACCAGAUAUAUAAUGAGGCUUCCAAGAAAAAUGAAUAUGACUUUGUUGAGAGCCUCUUCUCAAAGAGCAAUCGCACAGCUGGUGAAUGCAGUAUGUUGUCAACUCCUUCUACAAGCUUCACUCCUCCAGUCGUAGCUAGAAAGUCUGAUGAUGCCUACAGAGAGGAUGAUGCAAACAUGUAUGCUGUUAAUAAUUUGGCAAUAGCUGAGGUGCAAUUCAAUCGGUUGUCUCUACAGGAUGACCAGGGCAUUGAUCAGAAAGAAACUUAUCAAAGUGGUGGUGGAAUGCUUCAGAAUGGCCAAUCAAAUAUUACAAAAGAGUAUGGGAAGGAUGCUAGUGGGAUGCAUGACCAGAGAAACAAUCAGCAAGAUGGUUUUACAUUGACUGAUUUAAGAUUCAAGGAUCAAGCAUAUCCAAGCUCUUCUGUUAAUCCAGCUGUUCCUCAACUUGAUCCUGUAAUUGAUGAUGUCAGUGAAUGUGAAAUUCCAUGGGAAGAUCUAGUUAUUGGUGAAAGGAUUGGACUAGGUUCCUAUGGUGAAGUAUAUCAUGCUGAUUGGAAUGGCACUGAAGUUGCUGUGAAAAAGUUCCUUGACCAAGAUUUCUCGGGUGCUGCUUUGGCUGAGUUUAGGAGAGAAGUGCGCAUAAUGCAAAGGUUACGCCAUCCAAAUGUAGUUCUUUUUAUGGGUGCUGUAACUCGGCCUCCGAAUCUCUCUAUUGUCACGGAGUUUUUACCACGAGGAAGCUUAUAUCGGAUUAUUCAUCGCCCACAGUGUCAAAUUGAUGAAAAGCGAAGAAUUAAAAUGGCUUUAGAUGUGGCAAAGGGCAUGAAUUGCUUACAUACUAGCAUACCUACAAUCGUCCACCGUGAUCUGAAGUCACCAAAUUUGUUGGUUGAUAAUAAUUGGAAUGUGAAGGUAUGUGAUUUUGGGUUGUCACGUUUGAAGCACAAUACAUUUUUGUCAUCGAAGUCGACAGCUGGGACAAGUGGAUGGCACCAGAAGUACUCCGAAAUGAGCCUUCUAAUGAGAAGUGUGAUGUUUAUAGUUUUGGCAUCAUUUUGUGGGAAUUAGCAACCCUCAGACUACCUUGGAAUGGGAUGAAUCCAAUGCAGGUUGUGGGUGCUGUAGGCUUUCAAAAUCGCCGUCUUGAUAUACCAAAGGAAGUUGAUCCAUUAGUAGCUAGAAUAAUUUGGGAAUGUUGGCAAACGGACCCAAAUCUGCGCCCUUCAUUUAGUCAACUCACAGUGGCAUUGAAACCAUUGCAGCGGCUUGUCAUCCCUUCGCACAUAGAUCAGCCAAGCCAACCCAUGCCUCAGGAGAUCUCGGUGAAUUCCACGCCUUAAGACACAUCUCAGAUCCUCAACUGUGAAAAAAUAUUGUUGUGUUUGCACAGGAUGACGAACAUGAACUAUUCAGAGAAAGUGAUAAAGUUUUGGAGUCGCUUCCCUGAUGGAAACAAAAGCUGGGGAUUUGCUGUUUGAGUUGGGAGUCAGAACUCAAAUUUGCGAAUGCAGUUUUAAGGUCAAAAGCAAAAGUUAAUGUGUGUGUAUUGUUUCUGCAGCUCAAAACUUGCUGUGGCUCUUCUUGUACAGUGGCUUGUGCAUAUGUGAUCCCAAUGCUUAAAAUGUAUAGCUUGAUGUCUUGUAAUAUUUCUUGUUGGUCUCAUUAAAAAUAUUGAAAAGCUACCAUGUUAUCAUUGCUCGGCGCAAAAAAAAAAAAAAUCAUUUUAAGCCGAUAAUAAUUGCUGCUAUUUGCCAUUGGAACACA